AUUGAACGCUGGCGGCAGGCUUAACACAUGCAAGUCGAGCGGAGAUGAGGUGCUUGCACCUUAUCUUAGCGGCGGACGGGUGAGUAAUGCUUAGGAAUCUGCCAUUUAGUGGGGGACAACAUUCAGAAAGGAAUGCUAAUACCGCAUACGUCCUACGGGAGAAAGCAGGGGAUCUUCGGACCUUGCGCUAAAUGAUGAGCCUAAGUCGGAUUAGCUAGUUGGUGGGGUAAAGGCCUACCAAGGCGACGGUCUGUAGCGGGUCUGAGAGGAUGGUCCGCCACACUGGGACUGAGACACGGCCCAGACUCCUACGGGAGGCAGCAGUGGGGAAUAUUGGACGAUGGGCGGAAGCCUGAUCCAGCCAUGCCGCGUGUGUGAAGAAGGCCUUUUGGUUGUAAAGCACUUUAAGCGAGGAGGAGGCUACUAGUACUAAUACUACUGGAUAGUGGACGUUACUCGCAGAAUAAGCACCGGCUAACUCUGUGCCAGCCGCCGCCGUAACAC
rnacentral:rRNA from 1 species